rnacentral:rRNA from 1 species
GAGGGUGCGAACGUUGCUCGGAAUUACUGGGCGUAAAGCGCGUGUAGGCGGGUCGGCAAGUCAGGCGUGAAAUCCCCAGGCUCAACCUGGGAACUGCGCUUGAAACUGCCGGUCUUGAGUAUCGGAGAGGGUGGCGGAAUUCCUGGUGUAGAGGUGAAAUUCGUAGAUAUCAGGAGGAACACCGGUGGCGAAGGCGGCCACCUGGACGAUUACUGACGCUGAGACGCGAAAGCGUGGGGAGCAAACAGGAUUAGAUACCCUGGUAGUCCACGCCGUAAACGAUGGGUGCUAGGUGUCUCGGGUAUUGACCCCUGAGGUGCCGUAGCUAACGCGUUAAGCACCCCGCCUGGGAAGUACGGCCGCAAGGCUA